GACGAACGCUUGCGGCGUGCUUAACACAUGCAAGUCGAACGGAAAGGCCCUGCUUUUGUGGGGUGCUCGAGUGGCGAACGGGUGAGUAACACGUGAGUAACCUGCCCUUGACUUUGGGAUAACUUCAGGAAACUGGGGCUAAUACCGGAUAGGAGCUCCUGCUGCAUGGUGGGGGUUGGAAAGUUUCGGCGGUUGGGGAUGGACUCGCGGCUUAUCAGCUUGUUGGUGGGGUAGUGGCUUACCAAGGCUUUGACGGGUAGCCGGCCUGAGAGGGUGACCGGCCACAUUGGGACUGAGAUACGGCCCAGACUCCUACGGGAGGCAGCAGUGGGGAAUAUUGCACAAUGGGCGGAAGCCUGAUGCAGCAACGCCGCGUGCGGGAUGACGGCCUUCGGGUUGUAAACCGCUUUCGCCUGUGACGAAGCGUGAGUGACGGUAAUGGGUAAAGAAGCACCGGCUAACUACGUGCCAGCAGCCGCGGUGAUACGUAGGGUGCGAGCGUUGUCCGGAUUUAUUGGGCGUAAAGGGCUCGUAGGUGGUUGAUCGCGUCGGAAGUGUAAUCUUGGGGCUUAACCCUGAGCGUGCUUUCGAUACGGGUUGACUUGAGGAAGGUAGGGGAGAAUGGAAUUCCUGGUGGAGCGGUGGAAUGCGCAGAUAUCAGGAGGAACACCAGUGGCGAAGGCGGUUCUCUGGGCCUUUCCUGACGCUGAGGAGCGAAAGCGUGGGGAGCGAACAGGCUUAGAUACCCUGGUAGUCCACGCUGUAAACGGUGGGUACUAGGUGUGGGGUCCAUUCCACGGGUUCCGUGCCGUAGCUAACGCUUUAAGUACCCCGCCUGGGGAGUACGGCCGCAAGGCUAAAACUCAAAGGAAUUGACGGGGCCCCGCACAAGCGGCGGAGCAUGCGGAUUAAUUCGAUGCAACGCGUAGAACCUUACCUGGGUUUGACAUGGAUCGGGAGUGCUCAGAGAUGGGUGUGCCUCUUUUGGGGUCGGUUCACAGGUGGUGCAUGGCUGUCGUCAGCUCGUGUCGUGAGAUGUUGGGUUAAGUCCCGCAACGAGCGCAACCCUUGUUCACUGUUGCCAGCACGUUAUGGUGGGGACUCAGUGGAGACCGCCGGGGUCAACUCGGAGGAAGGUGGGGAUGACGUCAAGUCAUCAUGCCCCUUAUGUCCAGGGCUUCACGCAUGCUACAAUGGCUGGUACAGAGAGUGGCGAGCCUGUGAGGGUGAGCGGAUCUCGGAAAGCCGGUCUCAGUUCGGAUUGGGGUCUGCAACUCGACCUCAUGAAGUCGGAGUCGCUAGUAAUCGCAGAUCAGCAACGCUGCGGUGAAUACGUUCCCGGGGCU
rnacentral:rRNA from 1 species